CGGCAUCGCAGAGGACUGAGAGCUCGUAAGCUUUCUUCAGCAGCCCGGUCCGGCGCUUCGAGAAGGUGACUUGCCGGCUUGUCGCGUUCUCGAUUCGCCUCAGCUGAACUUUGCCUCUCGCCAUGAUAAAAUCCUCCCUACACAAAUGAUGGGACCUUGUGCAGCUUCAACCAGCUGAAGCCUUCAAUCUUCCUAUCCUUCCUCCUACUGUCUAGACUUCGGACUGAAGUACUUGAGAGGGCUAAAAACACUGCAAGACUAAUCACACACUUUUUUUUUUCUUUUUCCUUCAAACAGACAUGGACUAUAUCAUCAUUCGAACACAAGUCAAAAACCACAGAACGAAAAUGGUCGGAGAAAUAUAGAUUUGCCCAGGGUGUUCUC